rnacentral:rRNA from 1 species
CUGACGUUAGCGGCGGACGGGUGAGUAACACUGGGUAACCUACCUAUAAGACUGGGAUAACUCCGGGAAACCGGGGCUAAUACCGGAUAACACAUGAAACCGCAUGGUUUCAUGAUGAAAGACGGUUUUGCUGUCACUUAUAGAUGGACCCGCGGCGUAUUAGCUAGUUGGUAAGGUAACGGCUUACCAAGGCAACGAUACGUAGCCGACCUGAGAGGGUGAUCGGCCACACUGGAACUGAGACACGGUCCAGACUCCUACGGGAGGCAGCAGAG